UCAAUGGUAUACGUGAAACAAUCACAAAACAAAUAGUACUAUAAUUUAAAAGACCCAUUUGCUCUGGACUUAAAAGCAAUUUUAAAGACCGCGAAUUGUUAGAACUUGGAAAAGCCAGAAGAGAGUUAACUGGAAAAGUUACAAAAAAAAUGCUCCAGUACAUAGCACACUAUAACGUCGAUAAAGAUUUCGAAGAUAUUCACCAGAAUUGUCGGCUAAUAAGAUUCCACGCAAGUAUAGUACACCCGGAAUCGUAUGUAAUAAAAAUUAAAUGCUAUGGUGAUCGCAAAUG